GUCCUGCUCACCGCCCCCAGGCCCGCCCCCGCCCAGAUGCACACGCAGACACUCACACACAGGAAGCGGAGGAGCAAGUUGGCAUUUUCACAGUGGAACGGGCCGCCCCUCUGUCUCAGGCCAGGAGAGGGGCCACCACGUGAAGCAACUCUCAGCCAGGGUAGGGAGAAUCACACUGCCCUGGCUGAGCCUCAGGUCGCUGAGUGGAUUCAACAGAACCACCCACUGCAGGGAGACACUGGGCUGCAUUAUUUAGUGGUUAUAAAUAGGAGUGGAGGGGGUGCUAUUAGCAAUUACACAUCAGGACUCAGGGCACAGGAAAGGAGGAGGCUGUGAACUUAAAGGCAAGGCAGAGGGCCAAAUGAGACAGGCCAGCAGAGGCGGAGCUCACCCCGGCUCACAGGAACUGACCGCGGCCCUUCUGCAAUGCAGGUCCAGAACCCAGUGUUUGCAAGUUUCGUCCACACCCGUCAGGGAUCAGUACGUCAAGCCUUCCUCUGGCUGGAGAACAUCCCACUGCGUGGACACCACCUCAUCUGUCCUUUCAACCCGCGGGCGGACGGACAGCUGCAUGGCUCCCACCUUCCGGCUGCUGUGAAUAACGCAGCAAGGAGCACCCUUCGUCUGCGGCCUCCUAACUGGCUUCGCGGCCCCCCCUCUGCGGCGGGAGGAGGCAGAGGUGCCCUUGGAGCGAAGUCAUCUAAUUCUCCCCCCACCCCCCACCCCCCCCACUUGAAACCAGCCUCAGACAACGCACCUUUCUGGAAGCCAGAGGCGGAGCCCGCGCCAUAUACAGAGAGGUGAUCCCUACAGCUGGGAGUUAGGGAAAUUCACGCCUGGUUUGGGAAAAAAUGUAAGAAUGUCUUGCAGCACCAACAUAGGGGUCGAGAAGAAGGCCUGAAGUGGCGUGGGAAGGGGAGGGGCGGUCAGGAGAGGUCCCAGCGGAGGCCGAGGCCGGGAUGUAUUGAUGGCCCUUUGGAUGAUUGAAGGGGCGGGCGAGGCUGAGCCUGGGGCCCCUGGGAACCAGGGCUGCAUAAGCAGUUCAGGAAGGCGGGGAGGCGUUGGCAUACGCGGAGAACGCGAAGGAUGCUCUCAGCCAAGAGCAGCCCGGGCCUGGGGGUUGGUGAGGAGCACCAUCCGAGCGGAUGCUCUCCGGUCCCCAGGGACGGUGCCUGAGGCCCUUCUGUUCUUCCCAACGUGGGAGCGCCUGCCCAUCUCCUCGUAUCCAAGUCUCAGCCACCGUCCGAGACCCAGCAACGAUUCCUGUAUGAAAGCUCUUCCUGCUGCCCUCUGAGGUUACGCGCCUCCCCGCUUUGAGACGACGCACAGGAUGCAGCAAACAUAGAUCCACAGAAGCCCAAUGGAAUGGUGUUGCAAUGAAUCUGUAAGUGUUCCCACUGGGACAGGCCAUCCCGUCGUUCCUGGGUCGGAAACAGAGACUUUCCACUGGAAAUUCCCAGAGGACCAGACCGCAGGGGCGGGGAUGUGUGUGCUGUGCCCCAUCCAGAAUGACUCACUGUGGUCACCAUAUGACCGCUUUCUACUGUGAGCUUUGGCUGACUGGAUUCUCUCGAUGCUUCUUUUUUGCCGUGGUCCCUCCCCACUGACAAAGCAAGGCUAAGUGAAGCCACAGCUGGAAACUCUGAGCUUUGCAACACAUCCGAGGGUGGAGAAGAGAACUGGAAGGGAGCAUCCCAGGGCUGUGGGAUUACCUGGUUGCUCCUCCAAAAUAAAACAGUUUCCUGCAUAUUUUCCUAGAACUGCGAGGCCAUGACAAAUGGGAAAGAAGCCUGGGCGGGUGGGGAGGCACUUUGCCCAGGGAGCAGCGAGGCUGUUGCUUUUAAACUGUGGCUACUGUAUCAGCGAAAGUCAGAGGUCCUCCCCCACCCCCCAGCAUCCUCCAAAAAUGAAUUCGCAGGUGUGACUUUUUAGGAAAUGGCUUCAUCCACACAUGACCCCUUUAAGCUUCAGCGUUCCAGCAUGAGGCGCUCUGGCUCUCCCUGCCCAUUUGUGUCCUGGGGAAUCUGACACAGAGCUUGGAGGGCUGAAGGCGCGGUGGGAGCUUGACUGUCACGGGAGCGCUAUCAAGCACUCCCUUUAGAAAUACAAACAUUCUGUUAAUUUUUCAAAAUUUAAAGUACGUCGCAUACAGCUCUGCAAAACACAGAGUACGAAUAACAACAGUGUUCCAGUGUUUUGGAAACGGCUGCAUGUGAGAAGGACAGAAAGGACAGAGAAACGGACACACUGCAGGGUGGGAGGAGCUUGGACAGGCGUUGGUGUUCAAGCAUCCUUACCCCAGGUCUUUGGUUACUCAAAACCUGGACAUAAAGCAGGAAGGUGAGUGCGCGGUCCUUUCAGCGCCACGCCGGGGUGUGGUGUAGCCGCUCCCCCGUGCGUAUGUCAAGUCUUUCUGCCCCUGCGUUCGAUGACAUCACCAUUCACUGGGGCUCGGGUUCUCAGACCUUCCGUGUUGGCCGGCAGCCUCUUUCCAGAAAAGGUGCAAGUCCUCUGUGUUUGGGAGAAAGUGUUGACUGAGAAUCAGCAUCUGGGCUGCGGAGAACAAAGAGUUGCUUCGGAGUCCUGAGAACUGCCAUUCCGGAGACACAGAUUUGGGUAAAACCCAGAGUGUUCUGGGGAAGAGACGGAGUCAGGGCCUCUAAAGACAGAAGGCCUCAAGGUUAAGUUGCCCAGAGAGAACUGGGUUGGACAUAAGAAGUUGGGAUAUUUGUCCUUAAGCAACAAUGAGCUGGUUUAGGGCAGGUGUCCCGUGAGUAUGUCGAGUUUCUGUCCGAUGCCCUGGAUGCCUUCGUUGGGGCAGUAAGUGGUCAGAAGGUCAGGUUUCAUCUGCGCUGAGAAGGCCGUGUGUCCUGCUUCCUCUGUGGCUUCCUGGCUCGUUUUGGAGGCUCUUUCAGCAACUCCGACUCCGUUCUGGUUUCCCUUUCUGCAGAGGGUAGCUCUUUGGUGCUGGUCUCAGCAUGUCAGUGAGGAGGUUGUGGUUGGACUGGCCCUGGUGUUUCUACUGCGAUUGCAAGAUGCCCUUUGGAGGUAACUGUCAGGAAACUUUGAAAAAGUAAAGGCUUAUUACUUAUAGUUUCUGGAAAUUACACUGUACUCCUGGGCCUGCCCAUCAGAUUACAGGUAGAGAGAGCACGUGUGGACCUGGGGUUCGGCUUUUAUUGGGGUCAUGGGCGGAGGCUUAGGGUUUCUUGGGCUCACGCUUUGCUGGUGGAUUUCAAACAAAGUAUAGGAAUUUGAAGAGCAGGAAGAGAAAAAGCAGGAGGCCCAAUGGUCCGUAAGUGUUGCAGCCAAGCCUGACCUCUAAGAUGAAGGAGCCUGGCGGGUGUGUGAGGGGUCGGCCUGGCUCUUAUCUUGCUGGGCCUGGCACUGUGUCAUGCAAGACAGCGGGCUUGGAAGUGGCGGCCUUGACUGGCAAUCCCAGUUAAGUCAGGCACUUGCAUUGCAAGAAAGAUUUAGAAACCCCAGCUGCCAGGGUUCCCUCCGUGGUAACUCUGAAGGCUGUGAUUUGACUGUCCGCAGGCAGAACUCAGAGGCUUGUUUCAGGAAGGCUUCCCUGAGGGCAGACCGUCCCUGCUCCUCUAAGGCCCAUCCGAGCAGGCCCUGCCUGCUCCCUGCUUCCUCAGGAGGGAGCCAGGAGCAUUGUUCUCGUCUUCGUCCUGGGCUUAUGUGAGAGGCAUGCUUUGAGCCUUCUGGACGUCGUGUUUGGUCAGUGAGGACGAGCAGGUCCUCAGAGCCUUCGCAGCUGUAGAUGAGGGUGGCAGGGCCCCACCACCUGCUCCACCAGCCACAGGAUGCCAGGACCGGCCUGGGUAGAGCUGGGCCCUGCCUGCUUUCAUCCGGACCUCUUCCGGCACACAGACACUUCUCUGGGCCGUGACGACAGGUCCGGCCUGGGUGAGCGAGGAAAGCCCGCAGAGAAUCGGAGGUUUUGUUCUUUCUGGGAAGGGAUGGUGGUUGUGGGAACAAAAGUAAGCCUCUCUGUUGAAGGCGUGGAGUAAAACUGCAAACAUUCCACCAAGGCCACCCCUCCUUGCACUGCGCGCCCAGCCCGUGGCACAGACACAGCCCAGCUCUCGUCCAGGUGACGGAACUGAGAGGCAAGGGCUGAACGCUUUUCUCUUGACUCUUUACUGUGACGUCAAGGGAGAAACUGCUCUUUGGAAAGUGGCGCUUUAGCGGAGAGCGUGAAGGAGGACGGGAGGCUUCCUCUUAGAAAGACUGCUGGCCGGUUGGGGUCCCCUUCCGGGCGGCCUCGGAGGAGGAGGAGGAGGAGGAGGAGGAGUGAGACGGGAAAGGUGGGCUCUGCGGGGCCAGACCGCCAGGUGCUGUGGGCUCGAAGGAGGUGCCAGGCUUGGGGGCUCCUGUCCGGUGCCUGUCCUUUCCUCUGGUCUCCAGGUGUCUGGGGCCGUGGUGGGCACCCUGGGCCCUCCCACACCCUCUGCCCCCCCCAAGUGGGCUGGUGGCUCUUGCCCCGGGCGACUCACAGUCUCCGGGGACCCUUCGAUGUUAAAUAAACAUAGGACCAGCCGGGCGACAGACCGGCCGUAGCAGCCCCGUGGCCGCAUGGGCGGGUGUGCUGUGCGUGCCAGGCAGGAGGCAGCAAGGACGUGGACUCCCGCCGGAGCUGGCCCUUCCCACAGGCCCCUGGCUGGGCGGUCUGUCCAUCAUCCCCCCAAGGAGCCCCCUUCCGCCAGCAGCCCCCGGCUCUGGCUUUGGCUGCUCUGUUCGCUUAAGCUUUCCCAUCUGUGUGACCAGCUGGGAAGGCCGAACUCUAACCAUAAAUGGAAACGUUUUGAGGGGGCCACAGACAACUGCCAACGACUUGGGAGAUGACUAAGCAGCCGGGGAAGGAAAGAGGUUUCGUGGCCCGGGAGCUCUGGCCCUUUGCCGAGGGCUGUCGGUGCGUGGAGGGACAGCGUGUGGCUCCCGCGACACCAGCUGCAGGUCCCCGAGCGCACCUUCUAGCAAAGCCUGGGCCGGGAGAUCCUCAGCUGGGAAAAGGAGGUCUCAUGUCUGAUCUCCUUAAAAUCAGUGGAAAGUUAAUGAAAAAGUGUUUUCUUUUUCGAAGUUACGACUGAGCGAGGUUGGCAAGGAUCAAAGCGAAGCUAUUCAUACAUGUACUUUUCAUGGUAUUUUUGUUCAGGCCACAAAACAAUCAAGCCUCCACAGAUUUGUCCAUUUAAUGAAAAACAGGCAGGAGCGAUAAUUGUUCAGUUUUUUUUCUUUUUUAAGUUUUCAGUCUAUUGCCACGAGGACUCAACUUUUUCAUUUCGAAAUGGUUUUUCUUUCUUUUUUGUUUCCUGUUUCUCCCAGUUUUCUGUGCAGAAUUAUCCACCACAGCACAGCGCUGAUACGGCCACUGAUACUUCACUCGGCAAUUUGUGUCAAAAUGAAGCGGUGACUAACGGGUGGGGAAGCUGAGGUCUUCGGGAGGGCGCGUCUCCUGUCGGGACGUGCAACGGGCCAGUGUGCGUUUGCAAGGUGGGCCCACGCGUGGCCCUCCCCGGCCGCGGGAGUCGCAGAGAGGGGCCUGGAGCUCCUUCUCCUGGCCUGAGCUUCCCUGUUGGCCUGUAGACCACGGGGGUCUCAGAACAUCAAGCCCCAGAGAGGCGUGGUGGAGGGUCGGGAAGGGAGAGCGCCCCCGGGCGGGCGGAGACCUGCCCCAGAGAGACCGUUGGUGCUGAGCUGCACAGGCCUGGGCGGCAGGCCUGGGGCUUGGACCCAGGCCCGCGGUGCGUUCACCGAGCUCUGGGCACGUGGUUCACACUGGUCCCCGGCUCCUUCCCGCUGGAUGGGCUGGGUGGGCGCUGGCCCUGGGCUGUGGGUGGAGGCGAUGGAUGCUGCCUCCAGGCCUCCUGAAACCACCUCUGUGGGACCGUCCACACGCCCUUUCCUUCAGCUGCCUGAGUGCAGGGCUCGGGGGAGGUACCCAAGGCCCCAGGGGGCAGAGCCGUUGCUGGAAGGAUCCUGACUCCCCAGCGACCCCCUGGAUCCGUUUGCUCUGAAUGACCGUGGAACAGCACUGCGCUUCUGUCUGUUACCCGCGAGUCCCCUGUCGCAGCGCUCAGCUUCCCCCGCCAGCCCAGGGCGCCCUCCACUGUCCCCCUACCUCCCAGGCUCCGGACUCUGCUGCGGCUCCGUGCACGGAGGACGCGGACGACGCUGUUGGGGUUGAAGCCUCCGCUGGGCUCGCCCUGUGGGGCCCGGUCACCAAGCGCAAGCCUCACGGACGCGGGAGGUUGGCGAGGCCUUGUCCUUGGGCAGCAGCUGCAGGUGCCCCUCCUUCGGCUGCUGGGGCCCCGCCUGCCGCGCUGCCCAGCGGAGAAGGCUCAGGGCUAGGCUGGGGACGAGGGGACCCAGGCACGCUCCAUUUGGGGGAGGAAGGUGAGGAGGAGGAGGAGGGAGGAAGUGUGUGCUUGGGCCAGAUGUGGGCCACGUGGGCGAGGAGGCUGGCGGUCCCUCUGAAGUCCUGCCAGAGGGGCGCUGGGGCCGGGGAGGACUGCGGCAGGGAGCAGCCCUGGGGACACACUGACUUUGGAAGGCCCCCGGCUCCAGGGAGUCGGGUGGCAGAGAUGAAAAGGCUUCCGCAGAGGGCGGGGCAGGGGCCGCUGCCUCGGGGCCCUUUCCCGCAGUCCUGGUCCCGCUCUCUGCCCCCUGAGCGGUGGGACCUGCGGACUGGACAUCCACGCUCGCCGGCCUGGCGCCUCGUCGAUUCGAGAGUUCACCUGGAUGUCUGUGUUCAAGCGGGGAAAAGUGUGAACCUCUUCUCCUUUACGGUAGCAUCAAAAACACGUGUGACUUAGCGGCAAAUCUGAAGACCCGAACACUGAAAACUAAAACUCGCUGCUGUCAUUCAAGAAGACCUGGGAGGUAGAGAAGUGGAUCACAGUCAUGGAGCCGGAGGCUCAGUGUUACUAAGCUUAAGAGUUGUU